rnacentral:rRNA from 1 species
UACGGAGGGUGCGAGCGUUGUCCGGAAUCACUGGGCGUAAAGGGCGCGUAGGUGGCGCGAGAAGUCAACGGUGAAAGCUCGUCGCUCAACGACGAGUCGGCCGUCGAUACUCUCGCGCUGGAGCAUUGUAGAGGCUCAUGGAAUUCCAGGUGUAGCGGUGAAGUGCGUAGAUAUCUGGAGGAACACCGGUGGUGUAAACGGCUUUCUGGACCAUUACUGACGCUGAUGCACGAAAGCGUGGGUAGCAAACAGG